GACGAACGCUGGCGGCGUGCCUAAUACAUGCAAGUCGAGCGAAUCUAUGGGAGCUUGCUCCCUGAGAUUAGCGGCGGACGGGUGAGUAACACGUGGGUAACCUGCCUGUAAGACUGGGAUAACUUCGGGAAACCGGAGCUAAUACCGGAUACUUUCUUUUCUCGCAUGAGGGAAGAUGGAAAGAUGGUUCUGCUAUCACUUACAGAUGGACCCGCGGCGCAUUAGCUAGUUGGUGAGGUAACGGCUCACCAAGGCGACGAUGCGUAGCCGACCUGGGAGGGUGAUCGGCCACACUGGGACUGAGACACGGCCCAGACUCCUACGGGAGGCAGCAGUAGGGAAGCUUCCGCAAUGGACGAAAGUCUGACGGAGCAACGCCGCGUGAGCGAAGAAGGCCUUCGGGUCGUAAAGCUCUGUUGUUAGGGAAGAACAAGUACGAGAGUAACUGCUCGUACCUUGACGGUACCUAACCAGAAAGCCACGGCUAACUACGUGCCAGCCGCCGCAGUAAAAC
rnacentral:rRNA from 1 species